rnacentral:rRNA from 1 species
GACGAACGCUGGCGGCGUGCUUAACACAUGCAAGUCGAACGGUAAGGCCCUUCGGGGUACACGAGUGGCGAACGGGUGAGUAACUCGUGGGUGAUCUGCCCUGCACUUCGGGAUAAGCCUGGGAAACUGGGUCUAAUACCGGAUAGGACCACUGCCUGCAUGGGUGGUGGUGGAAAGCUUUUGCGGUGUGGGAUGGGCCCGCGGCCUAUCAGCUUGUUGGUGGGGUGAUGGCCUACCAAGGCGACGACGGGUAGCCGGCCUGAGAGGGUGACCGGCCACACUGGGACUGAGAUACGGCCCAGACUCCUACGGGAAGCAGCAGUGGGGAAUAUUGCACAAUGGGCGCAAGCCUGAUGCAGCGACGCCGCGUGAGGGAUGACGGCCUUCGGGUUGUAAACCUCUUUCAGCACCGACGAAGCGCAAGUGACGGUAGGUGCAGAAGAAGGACCGGCCAACUGCGUGCCAGCCGCCGCCGUAA